rnacentral:rRNA from 1 species
AUGGCAACCCUUCGAGUCGACGAAAUUCAUAAAAUUCUCCGCGAACGUAUUGAACAAUAUAAUAGGAAAGUAGGGAUUGAGAAUAUAGGUCGCGUAGUUCAAGUGGGGGAUGGGAUUGCUCGUAUUAUAGGUCUUGGUGAAAUAAUGUCAGGUGAAUUAGUCGAAUUUGCAGAAGGUACUAGGGGUAUUGCUCUGAAUUUGGAAUCCAAAAAUGUUGGGAUUGUAUUAAUGGGCGAUGGGUUGAUGAUACAAGAGGGAAGUUUUGUAAAAGCAACACGAAGAAUUGCUCAGAUACCCGUGAGUGAGGCUUACUUGGGUCGUGUUGUAAAUGCUCUGGCUAAACCUAUUGAUGGGAAAGGCGAAAUUAUAGCUUCCGAAUCUCGCUUAAUUGAAUCUCCUGCUCCAAGUAUAAUUUCCAGGCGUUCCGUAUACGAACCUCUUCAAACAGGGCUUAUUGCUAUCGAUUCGAUGAUCCCUAUAGGGCGCGGUCAGCGAGAGUUAAUUAUUGGGGACAGACAGACUGGCAAAACAGCAGUAGCCACAGAUACAAUUCUCAAUCAAAAAGGGCAAGGUGUAAUAUGUGUUUAUGUAGCUAUCGGUCAAAGAGCAUCCUCCGUAGCUCAAGUAGUAACUACUUUCCAUGAGGAGGGGGCCAUGGAAUACACUAUUGUAGUAGCUGAAAUGGCGGAUUCACCUGCUACAUUACAAUACCUCGCUCCUUAUACGGGAGCAGCCCUGGCUGAGUAUUUUAUGUACCGCGAACGGCAUAUUUUAAUAAUUUAUGAUGAUCUCUCCAAACAGGCACAAGCUUAUCGCCAAAUGUCCCUUCUAUUAAGAAGACCUCCCGGCCGUGAGGCUUAUCCAGGGGAUGUUUUUUAUUUGCAUUCACGCCUUUUAGAAAGAGCCGCUAAAUUAAAUUCUCUUUUAGGCGAAGGAAGUAUGACCGCUUUACCAAUAGUUGAGACUCAAUCUGGAGACGUUUCCGCCUAUAUUCCUACUAAUGUAAUCUCCAUUACAGAUGGACAAAUAUUCUUAUCUGCGGAUCUAUUCAAUGCCGGAAUUCGACCCGCUAUUAAUGUGGGUAUUUCUGUUUCCAGAGUAGGAUCCGCGGCUCAAAUUAAAGCCAUGAAACAAGUAGCUGGCAAAUCAAAAUUGGAACUAGCUCAAUUCGCAGAGUUACAAGCCUUAGCACAAUUCGCCUCUGCUCUCGAUAAAACAAGUCAGAAUCAAUUGGCAAGGGGUCGACGAUUAAGGGAAUUGCUUAAACAAUCCCAGGCAAAUCCUCUCCCAGUGGAAGAGCAGAUAGCUACUAUUUAUACCGGAACAAGAGGAUAUCUUGAUUCGUUAGAAAUUGAACAGGUAAAUAAAUUUCUGGAUGAGUUACGUAAACAUCUAAAAGAUACUAAACCUCAAUUCCAAGAAAUUAUAUCUUCUAGCAAGACAUUCACCGAGCAAGCGGAAAUCCUUUUGAAGGAAGCUAUUCAGGAACAGCUGGAACGGUUUUCUCUUCAGUAA